GACGAAGGAUGCAAGCGUUAUCCGGAUUCAUUGGGUUUAAAGGGAGCGUAGGUGGCCUUAUAAGUCAGUGGUGAAAUCUUCGAGCUUAACUCGGAAAUUGCCAUUGAUACUGUAGGGCUUGAGUACAGUUGCUGUGGGCGGAAUAUGACAUGUAGUGGUGAAAUACAUAGAGAUGUCAUAGAACACCGAUUGCGAAGGCAGCUCACAAAACUUGUAACUGACACUGAGGCUCGAAAGUGCGGGGAUCAAACAGG
rnacentral:rRNA from 1 species